UAGGGAAUCUUCGGCAAUGGGGGUAACCCUGACCGAGCAACGCCGCGUGAGUGAAGAAGGUUUUCGGAUCGUAAAGCUCUGUUGUUAAGUAAUAACGAGGUGGAGAUUGGAAAGUUCAUGCUUUAACGUUACUUAACCAAAAGGGGACGCCUACCUACUUGCCAGCAGCCGCGGUAAUACGUAGGUCCCGAGCGUUUUCCGGAUUUAUUGGGCGUAAAGCGAGCGCGGGCGGUUAGAAAAGUCUGAAGUGAAAGGCAGUGGCUCAACCAUUGUAGGCUUUGGAAACUGUUUAACUUGAGUGCAGAAGGGGAGAGUGGAAUUCCAUGUGUAGCGGUGAAAUGCGUAGAUAUAUGGAGGAACACCGGUGGAGAAAGCGGCUCGCUGGUCUGUAACUGAAGCUGAGGCUCGAAAGCGUGGGGAGCGAACAGG
rnacentral:rRNA from 1 species